rnacentral:lncRNA from 1 species
GUGGCGGGAAACUGGACCGAUGUGGCCUGUGGAAACUUGGGCUGAUUUCUUUUUUGUUGGGGACACUUGGGCCGACUAACUGGGCAAGCCCAACGUGAACAAACAUACUCUUAUUAAACAACUGAGUCAUCCGGUCCAACGAUUUAUUGGUCUCCUCUAAAAAAAAACACUAUUUAUUGGUCUCUUAUAACCUUGUGUUAAGCUAACAGAUGUUCCCCUAAAAAAAAGCU